rnacentral:rRNA from 1 species
CUCCUACGGGAGGCAGCAGUGGGGAAUAUUGCACAAUGGGCGCAAGCCUGAUGCAGCCAUGCCGCGUGUGUGAAGAAGGCCUUCGGGUUGUAAAGCACUUUCAGUUGUGAGGAAGGUGGUGUCGUUAAUAGCGGCAUCAUUUGACGUUAGCAACAGAAGAAGCACCGGCUAACUCCGUGCCAGCAGCCGCGGUAAUACGGAGGGUGCGAGCGUUAAUCGGAAUUACUGGGCGUAAAGCGCAUGCAGGUGGUUUGUUAAGUCAGAUGUGAAAGCCCGGGGCUCAACCUCGGAACUGCAUUUGAAACUGGCAGACUAGAGUACUGUAGAGGGGGUAGAAUUUCAGGUGUAGCGGUGAAAUGCGUAGAGAUCUGAAGGAAUACCGGUGGCGAAGGCGACCCCCUGGACAGAUACUGACACUCAGAUGCGAAAGCGUGGGGAGCAAACAGGAUUAGAUACCCUGGUAG